UCACGAUCAAUUCUUUGAUAGUUCGCUGAAAAUUCAAACAGAAUCGUCGCAAUCCAUUCAAAGUCCCGAAAAAGUUUCGAAACCAUCAUGAACAGCGAAAAGUCAAAAUCAAGGCCAAAAGAGAAGAAAAUCAACUAUGCAUACUUGACGAAUUACGAGUGUAAAGUCUGUAACCAGCGAAUUAUAACGAUGCAGCCGGCCAAUCCGUUCUACACCUGUCGAUUGUGUGUUAAGCCCAUGGAAAUCAUUUACCAUAAAGACCUCACACGAUAUGAUAAUUAACAGCCAAAGUUCCAAAGAUUGUGAAAACAUUGUAUUCUGUUUACCAUUCUGAAGAUAAAUUCGAGAAACGAAAAUCGCACGAACCAUUGACCAUUGAUUUUUGAAACUGUUUACUUGAUUGUUGUUUGCAAUAAAGAGAAAUAAAGUGGAACCGAUUAAUUGACAAACUGUUUCAAUCUUUUCAUGUGUAUAAAAUGAUUUCCGAAAAAUGAUCGAUCAUUUCAGCUUAGAGCCAGUACGACAGCAGUUCCUUUUUCAUUUAUAAAAAAUAAAAUUUUCAUUAUUUAUAGAAAUUCGUGGUGCUUUCUCAAUUUGCUGUGGUGCUUUACUUGUUGCAAUCAUGGGAAAUGCGAACAGCAUGGCACAGAACCAUGUUACGAUCUAUAGAUGUUCCGCGUGCAGAAAUACCGAUGUACGACUCGUCCGACCGUAUGCAUACAUUCGAUGCCCGAGAUGCAACGAAUGGAUGGACAUGUUCCCAGGAUGGGCUGAAACAGUAAGAUCGACUUAAACCUGAGGCUGUUCAUCAUAUAUCAAUUCACAUUUUCAUCAUUCAAUUGAAAUAAAAUCACUUGUUUGCCGGUUAUGAUCAAAUCUGUGUCAAAACAAAA